GACGUACGCUGGCGGUGUGCCUGAUACAUGCAAGUAGCACGCUGAAGAGAGGUGCUUGCUCUUCUUGGAUGAGUUGCGAACGGGUGAGUCACGCGUAGGUAACCUGCCUGAUAGCGGGGGCUAACUAUUGUAAACGAUAGCUAAUACCGCAUGAAAUGGAUUAUCGCAUGAUAAUCGAUUGAAAGGUGCAGAUGCAUCACUACCAGAUGGACCUGCGUUGUAUUAGCUAGUUGGUGAGGUAACGGCUCACCACGGCAACGAUACAUAGCCGACCUGAGAGGGUGAUCGGCCACACUGGGACUGAGACACGGCCCCAGACACGUACGGGGAGGCAGCAGUAGGGUAUCUUCGGCAAUGGACGGAAGUACUGACCGAGCAACGCCGCGUGAGUGAAGAAGGUGUUCGGAUCGUAAAGCUCUGUUGUAAGAGAAGAACGAGUGUGAGAGUGGAAAGUUCACACUGUGACGGUAUCUUACCAGAAAGGGACGGCUAACUACGUGCCAGCAGCCGCGGUAAUACGUAGGUCCCGAGCGUUGUCCGGAUUUAUUGGGCGUAAAGCGAGCGCAGGCGGUUAGAUAAGUCUGAAGUUAAAGGCUGUGGCUUAACCAUAGUACGCUUUGGAAACUGUUUAACUUGAGUGCAAGAGGGGAGAGUGGAAUUCCAUGUGUAGCGGUGAAAUGCGUAGAUAUAUGGAGGAACACCGGUGGCGAAAGCGGCUCUCUGGCUUGUAACUGACGCUGAGGCUCGAAAGCGUGGGGAGCAAACAGGAUUAGAUACCCUGGUAGUCCACGCCGUAAACGAUGAGUGCUAGGUGUUAGACCCUUUCCGGGGUUUAGUGCCGCAGCUAACGCAUUAAGCACUCCGCCUGGGGAGUACGACCGCAAGGUGGAAACUCAAAGGAAUUGACGGGGGCACGCACAAGCGGUGGAGCAUGUGGUUUAAUUCGAAGCAACGCGAAGAACCUUACCAGGUCUUGACAUCCCUCUGACCGCUCUAGAGAUAGAGUUUUCCCUCGGGACAGAGGUGACAGGGUGGUGCAUGGGUUGUCGUCAGCCGUGUCGUGAGAUGUUCGGGUUAAGUCCGCCACGAGCGCCACCCCUAUUGUUAGUUGCCCAUCAUUUAGGUGGGUCACCUUAGCGAGACUGCCCGGUAUUAACCGGAGGGAGGGUGGGAAUACGUCAAAUAUCAUGCCCCUUAUACGUGG
rnacentral:rRNA from 3 species